GGUUAAAACUUUAUGACUCUAUAACUUCUAUACCGUGAGGCCAAACUUGGCAUGUGAUACCUUUUCGGAAAGCCCAAAGAGAGCCCUCCGACGAAAGAAGCAAGACAAUGGAACUUUUCCAUUGACUUUUUGUCGACUCCAAAUUUUGACCUUUAAGUACUUUUUCGGGCAUUUUCGUGAUUUGUGCUAUAUUACGGACCCAAAAUUACUUUUUCAAGCAUUGUUUUCGAAUAUUUUUCAUGCAUCAAAGCUCGUUAAGACUAGAUGGGGUAUCCCUACAUGGCGGGUGGGACCCACGGCGAACGGUUCAUCAAGACUUAAAAAAAGAAUAUAUACGAUUGCAUUGCAUAUGCUAACGGAUGCGAUCAUACCAGCACUAAUGCACCGGAUCCCAUCAGAACUCCGCAGUUAAGCGUGCUUGGGCGAGAGUAGUACUAGGAUGGGUGACCUCCCGGGAAGUCCUCGUGUUGCAUCCCUCUUUUUUUUUUUUUUUUUUUUGGUUAAAACUUUAUGACUCUAUAACUUCUAUACCGUGAGGCCAAACUUGGCAUGUGAUACCUUUUCGGAAAGCCCAAAGAGAGCCCUCCGACGAAAGAAGCAAGACAAUGGAACUUUUCCAUUGACUUUUUGUCGACUCCAAAUUUUGACCUUUAAGUACUUUUUCGGGCAUUUUCGUGAUUUGUGCUAUAUUACGGACCCAAAAUUACUUUUUCAAGCAUUGUUUUCGAAUAUUUUUCAUGCAUCAAAGCUCGUUAAGACUAGAUGGGGUAUCCCUACAUGGCGGGUGGGACCCACGGCGAACGGUUCAUCAAGACUUAAAAAAAGAAUAUAUACGAUUGCAUUGCAUAUGCUAACGGAUGCGAUCAUACCAGCACUAAUGCACCGGAUCCCAUCAGAACUCCGCAGUUAAGCGUGCUUGGGCGAGAGUAGUACUAGGAUGGGUGACCUCCCGGGAAGUCCUCGUGUUGCAUCCCUCUUUUUUUUUUUUUUUUUUUUGGUUAAAACUUUAUGACUCUAUAACUUCUAUACCGUGAGGCCAAACUUGGCAUGUGAUACCUUUUCGGAAAGCCCAAAGAGAGCCCUCCGACGAAAGAAGCAAGACAAUGGAACUUUUCCAUUGACUUUUU